UCCUUUCUUUUCUCACCCAUGCCCUAACCAUUCUCACCGUCAAACCCAUCUCCCUUCUCCCCUCUCAUGUGGCGCCGAGCUCUUCAUCUUCCCCAACUCGUCGACGCUUCUCCUUCCUCACGAAUAAAACCCAUCAGCCAAGGAAAAGCCUUGAGUCUUCUCCCUCGCGUCUCCAUCUUCUUUCUUCUCUGUGCCGACACCCCUACUUCCCCUCUUCACUGAUUUCUUCAACGCCGACACACACCACCAUCGGCUACUCGCGAGGAUUAAACGCGGCCACGAAGGGAGCGGAGGACAACCACUCCCGUGAUCUCCUCGCGCAAAGCAACAUCGACGUCGUGCCUAGCUCUGGAUCCGUUGAUCACUAGGCGCUACCGGUGCCGGAAAGAAGGGGGAAACGACGCAAGGAAGACUAGAGUUACUCUUCCUCUGGCCUAGGACAGAAUCAGAGCACUGGAUGGUGUUGCCCGAGGGCUUGUCAGUAGUAGAUCCCUAGUAGUUCUAUCCACCAUCGCACCAUCUUCCUUCGCUAUAGUUGAAUUGUGGUCACCGACACUGGAUCUCAGUGGUAGCUGGCAUUCCAGGCGGCCAGCAAUCGUCACGACACUACCUCAUCCUGCUGAGCUCCCUCUCCACUGGUCAUAAGGUGUGCUCUGCUGCCUUACUACCAUAUUAUAGGUGCUGAUUUUGGGGCAUUUGAUCGGCUUCAACCUCCUCCAACAGUGGGUCAAGUGGUUGUGCUACGGAUUUAGGUGAGUUUAGGAGUUGAUUCAGGAUGGUUAUAUGGUUUAAUUGAUAUAGAUGGUAGUAGGAUCGUUAAUAGGAUCAUUGAAUUGUUGUGGAUUGAGUUAAAUCUAAUUGGAAUGAUGAAUUUGGUUAAUUAUGUUGAUUAGGGUUUUCCCUAAUUAGAUUGAAAAUUUUAUUUAGCUAUUCGCUACAUAUGUAAUUAAUUAAAUACAUUAUGUGAUAGCAAGACUUUGAAUCGUGA